rnacentral:rRNA from 1 species
GACGAACGCUGGCGGCGUGCUUAACACAUGCAAGUCGAACGGUGAAGCUCCAGCUUGCUGGAGUGGAUCAGUGGCGAACGGGUGAGUAACACGUGAGCAACCUGCCCCUGACUCUGGAAUAAGCGCUGGAAACGGCGUCUAAUACUGGAUACGAGAAGGGCCCGCAUGGGCACUUUCUGGAAAGUUUUUCGGUUGGGGAUGGGCUCGCGGCCUAUCAGCUUGCUGGUGAGGUAAUGGCUCACCAAGGCGACGACGGGUAGCCGGCCUGAGAGGGCGACCGGCCACACUGGGACUGAGACACGGCCCAGACUCCUACGGGAGGCAGCAGUGGGGAAUAUUGCACAAUGGGCGAAAGCCUGAUGCAGCGACGCCGCGUGAGGGAUGACGGCCUUCGGGUGGUAAACCUCUUUCAGCAGGGAAGAAGCGAAAGGGACGGGACCUGCAGAAGAAGCACCGGCGAACUACGG